CCUACGGGUGGCAGCAGUGGGGAAUAUUGGACAAUGGGCGAAAGCCUGAUCCAGCCAUGCCGCGUGUGUGAAGAAGGCCUUCGGGUUGUAAGGCACUUUCAGUGGGGAAGAAAGCCUUGGGGCUAAUACCCUCGAGGAAGGACAUCACCCACAGAAGAAGCACCGGCUAACUCCGUGCCAGCAGCCGCGGUAAUACGGAGGGUGCGAGCGUUAAUCGGAAUUACUGGGCGUAAAGCGCGCGUAGGCGGUCUGAUAAGCCGGUUGUGAAAGCCCCGGGCUCAACCUGGGAACGGCAUCCGGAACUGUCAGGCUAGAGUGCAGGAGAGGAAGGUAGAAUUCCCGGUGUAGCGGUGAAAUGCGUAGAGAUCGGGAGGAAUACCAGUGGCGAAGGCGGCCUUCUGGACUGACACUGACGCUGAGGUGCGAAAGCGUGGGUAGCAAACAGGAUUAGAUACCCCAGUAGUC
rnacentral:rRNA from 1 species